GAUGAACGCUGGCGGCGUGCCUAAUACAUGCAAGUAGAGCGCUGAAGGAAGGAGCUUGCUCUUUCCGGAUGAGUUGCGAACGGGUGAGUAACGCGUAGGUAACCUGCCUGGUAGCGGGGGAUAACUAUUGGAAACGAUAGCUAAUACCGCAUAACAGUAGAUGUUGCAUGAUAUCUACUUAAAAGGUGCAAUUGCACCACUACCAGAUGGACCUGCGUUGUAUUAGCUAGUUGGUGAGGUAACGGCUCACCAAGGCGACGAUACAUAGCCGACCUGAGAGGGUGAUCGGCCACACUGGGACUGAGACACGGCCCAGACUCCUACGGGAGGCAGCAGUAGGGAAUCUUCGGCAAUGGACGGAAGUCUGACCGAGCAACGCCGCGUGAGUGAAGAAGGUUUUCGGAUCGUAAAGCUCGGUUGUAAGAGAAGAACGAGUGUGAGAGUGGAAAGUUCACACUGUGACGGUAUCUUACCAGAAAGGGACGGCUAACUACGUG
rnacentral:rRNA from 1 species